CGCGUAGGCGGACUUUUAAGUCAGGGGUGAAAUCCCGGGGCUCAACCUCGGAACUGCCUUUGAUACUGGGAGUCUUGAGUUCGAGAGAGGUGAGUGGAAUACCGAGUGUAGAGGUGAAAUUCGUAGAUAUUCGGUGGAACACCAGUGGCGAAGGCGGCUCACUGGCUCGAUACUGACGCUGAGGUGCGAAAGCGUGGGGAGCAAACA
rnacentral:rRNA from 1 species